rnacentral:lncRNA from 1 species
GCAUUUGAAUCUUCAAGCUUUCCCAUCUUCUUCUCAGAACUUUUGCAUCCUUGUUUCUCCCUUCUCCAACGUUUCCUGCUAUUAUUACCCCUUUCAUACUUGCAAUUUUCUUCCUAUAUACGUGAUUAGAAAUGGGAGUGCAUCUUCUAACCCCAAGGGAGUUUUUUAUCUUGUCCUAUUCACUGUGUACAAGCCUCCUCAUGACGAAGGAGUGUCCAUUAUUGUAGAAGACGAGAGUUUCCCCACUAUAGAUGAGAUAAUUCCUCAUUCGAGGAAGACCAGGUCGGACUUCUCAAAGCGACUUGAGGAGGAUCCUGAGCCUGACAUUUCUGAGAUAGAUGCGACAGGGCUUAUUAAAUUUAGGGCUAAAGGGCGAAUUCCAGACCAUGUCGACCUUAUCCCGGUUGGUAAUAAUUUUCAUUCUAUUUUCAGCAGCACAUGGCACCCCUAAAAGGCUACAUAUAUACCAUUCUUUCACACAAAAAGGUCAGAGAUUGAGACCCUGAAAAUACAAAAGGUUUCAUGCAUUCUUUUCCUUGAGUUUGGCUCCAAUUUCUUCUUUCUGGUUUUUCUUUUAGUACUUAAAAG